rnacentral:lncRNA from 1 species
GCGCUGUCAGUUUCAAAAAUAGAGCUGUUGGAGCGUCUAAUAACGGCUAUAAACGGCCAUAAACGGCUAGUUUUUCCAUUUCUCUUAUAAAUAGCCCCCCAUAAUCGAUUAUUAGACACUCCUUUGCACCCAAAUACUGUUGAAAUCAAAUCUAGAGCUCAAAAUCCCUCCAUUUCUCUUCACCUUCUUAAAGUUUCAUUUUCUCAAUCUUCCUCCAUGGCUGAACCAAGAAGGCAUCGUUGCAGAACAACUGGAGCUU